rnacentral:misc_RNA from 1 species
CAGUCCGACUCUGAGCAUCGCACCGUUCAGACGCAAACUCCCAGCCAACUCACUCACCACUCACUCACUCACCACUCACCGAGUUGACAGAUUUGCUCCCUCAUCCGGUUGGUGUCAAGCACCGAAGGGGGACAUCCUCUCCACUGACUGCUCUCGGCUCGAUUGUAGCAGCAGCAGAGACUGCCGACAGAGUCGACGGUAAUUUGAAGGGUCGCGGAUGAAGUGCUUCGAUAAUCGCGUUUCACAAACAAUUGGUUAUUUAUCUAAUCAUAAAAGAGUAGUCUGAAGAAUAGUGAUGGUGACUCGUAAGGAUACUAUCCAGUGUUUUGGAAUUUGACAAUUUUCGGCCAAGUUUAAACUUCAAUUCAAUAAAGUUUAUAAACUGGACAUUAUUUAUUGUUUGUGCUCUAUUCAAGGAGAUUUCAUUUGUGUUAUGAUUCAUAAGUGGAUGCGACUUAUAUUUCAUAAUCAUAUAGAGUUCAAAGACGCUUGAACUUAUAGAGUAUAUAUAACUCUAUAUAGAGUUAUAUAGAUGCUUCGAAUUUAUCGAGUAAGGUUUGUUCGGCGAAAGCGUUGAGAAAAGUAACAUUGGAGGUCGGAAGGCCAAUGCUUAUAGAAUUAGCUGAGAAAAACGUUUGCUAUAGUUCAUUAUAGGUGAGUGAGCUUCAUUGAGUAUGAUAGUUUGAUCAUAGAGCUCCGCUAAUCUUUGCAUCAAAAUGUUCCGAAUUGAGAGAGCCUCCUUGAUGAUUUUAUGAUCAGGUUGUUUCAAUUUACAUCGUAUGGUUCUUGGUUGAUUCUCAAAAAACAUUGAUGUUUUUUGGAAAAAAAUAUAUCUUUUUUCAGUGAUGAUUCGUUUAGGGUUCUAGCCAACAAUUAAAUAGACUUUCUAUCAUAAUAACAAUACUACAAAAACUAAACACUUGAACAAUUUUAUCUCUUCAAUAGGGGAGUGAGUUGCUAUCAUUCACAUGAUAAACUGUAGGCCUACAUUAAAAUAAACAUAAAUCUAGUGAAAUGAGCUAAUAUUGGCGCAAAGGGCAAUAUUCGAGUAAAAGGCAGAAUAUUCGUAUAAAAUAAAUUUGAAGAGAGUUCAACCUGAUGAUAAAAGUGAUUAAUUGAAGUUCAGUUCGAUUGAAGCUCAAUCGUAUUUCCAGCUUCCCAAUUCUAGAUAUCUUCCAAUAUUCACCUUACACCCUUGAAAUAAAUUAACUUGAGUUGUAGAAUAUUGAAAGCAUGAUUUGAAGCUCUUAUCAAGUAAUUAGUUGGAUGAAACAGUGAAGUGAGAUUUUAGUUAGAUUAUUCUUCCACCUACGGCUCUACAAUAAAAAUCAAAUUUUGAGCAGAAGUAGAAAGAAAAAAAAAGAUGAAACCAGAAGGAUUGGAAAGUUGCGAAUUUCAAGCUGUUUGAUAACAAACUGGUCUGCAAUUUUUUCUCCCCGAAUUGACCGACAACUUUUGCUCUUUGAAUUGCAACAUCGCUUCACUAUUCACGGUUUAAGAAUGAUAGACCCAAUGCUUUUCACACCAGCCACCUACUGCCACACACACUAAUGUUCUCAUUGGAGUGAGUGGAUUGAAAUAGAAAUGCAGUGUUUAUUGAAAUGUUAUCACCAAUUGAAUUGGAGUGGGAAUAAUGAUACAAAAACGUUCAACUACUGUACAAAAUCCCUAUUGCGAGUGUGAUUUCUCAAUCGAUUUAGCAAAGGCAGAAGAUUAUCGGUGGCAUUAUCUGUUUUCUCAUCUUAUACAUUAGAAUUAAAAUUUUCCUAUUCACUGUGUAACAAUGUGCGACGAAGAAUUGAUCGAUAUGGCGUCAGCCUCACUUUUGGAAUCUAAUUGUGAUUUGUGCGGAUCGAGUAAGGCUCGAUGUACUCAUAAUAACCUCAAAAAAGCUCGCAUACAAGCGACCAAGGAGGGCACUUCGGGAUCUGCGCGGUCACCAGUUAUCGUCAUCGGUGGGCGGACAUCCAUGGUAGAUGACGAUGAUGAUGAUAACGAUGAUCUCGUGGAUGAUUCCGAUUAUAUUGAAGACAUAAUGACGCGACCAGUGAGCGCGGGUGGCGACAAAGACAAACAGGCAGAGAAGCAGACGAAAAGUGAGUGUGUCGCCCCCCACCCCGCGCACCCAGCCGACCCGAUAUCGCAGUCAAUCGGCGAAUUCGGCCGCUGGCAGUUCCUGCUCACAUUCCUCCUGUCCUUGGUCAACUUCCCCUGCACGUUUCACAUUUUCGCGCCAACAUUCGAGGGUGCGCAAAGGGACUUUUGGUGUGCGCGACCCCCGGGACGAAAUGUGGCCGUUGACACCUGGAAGAGCUUCAGUGGCAUAUUCGACAUUGACAAAGAUGGAAAUGCCAUCUACGAUCCUUGCAGAGUGAAGGAUGUUAUAGUGCCGUUAUCAAUAAACCGAAGUGAAAUAGUGAUUACUUACUCAAAUGAUUCAGUACCUUGGAAAAAGUGUUUGGAAUGGGAGUACAACAUGACUGAUUUUGGCAAAACCAUCAUAAGCGAGUGGAACCUUGUCUGUGAAAAUCAACAACUAAGCAACAUUGCAGAAAUGAUGUUUCUACUUGGAGUUGCUAUUGGAGGUCUUGCUUCUGGGUUCUUUUCGGACAGGUUGGGCAGGAAAAACACACUGAUGGUAUCACUUCUUCUUCAAAUUGUACUCGGACUAUCAAUUGCGUUUGUUCCCUGGCUGAGUCUCUAUCUUGUCCUGAGGGCACUUCUUGGCUUUGUUUGUGUCAGCGUCGUCUUCUCAGGAUUUGUCUUGUGUAUGGAAUUGGUAGGCGGGAAAUGGCUUACGAUAUCUGGAGUAUCAUACCUAUUCCCACUGCCACUCGCUUACAUUGUCAUCUCAGCAAUUGCCUAUUACAUAAGAGAUUGGAGAAAUCUUCAAGUUGCCAUAACUGUUCCUGCAAUUCCAUUCCUAUUACUUUGGUGGGUGCUACCAGAGUCACCAAGAUGGUUACUGACAAUGGGACGUGUUGAAGAGACAAUGAAUGUACUCAAAGAAGCUGCUCAAGUGAACAGAAUGGAACUCCCACCAGAUACCCAUAAACUAUUGAGUCGGAGUAUAUCCAAGGUAGAAAUGUCAGAAUCGCCCAAGGUUGGAUUUGGAGAUCUAUUCCGGACACCAAGAAUCCGUAAAAUAUCGUUGGUUCUCUACGUUGUCUGGUUUACAGUCUACCUCAUCUACUAUGGAGUUGUACUCAACUUAUCAAGCUUGGGUGGAAAUAUCUACAUUAACUCCAUAAUCUCUGGAGCAGUAGAGUUCCCUGCAAUAGCAAUCAGUAUUCUUUUUCUCCUGAAGAUGGGAAGAAGGUGGCCUCUCUGCUUGACCGUUAUAGGAGCAGGAAUCUCUUGUCUACUCACGAUACCUGUCCCCAAAGAUUUCCAUUGGUUGAAAAUCACAUUUGCAAUGGCUGCCAAAUUCUGUAUUUCAUCAUCGAAUGUGGUGAUGCCGGUCUACACGGCUGAACUGUUUCCUACUAUAAUGAGAAAUCUGGGCGUGGGUUCGUCCAAUGUACCGGCUGGAGUGGCACUUAUGCUUGUUCCCUACUUAUGGAACUUGGCCGAUAUGAAUACUAACAUGCCAAUGGGAGUGCUGGGAUUCUUCGGCAUAAUUGGUGGAGCAUCCGUCCUCUUACUGCCAGACACCGACAAUUUAGCUGACACUCUCAAUGACAUUGAAUGAGCAUUCGGAAAGCUGCACUGAAUUCGUUCAACGUCCUGAAUUCGUGAUUAUGGAUCUGGAAGAACAUCAGAGGUUCACCGCUUAACAAACUGGAUAAUCGAAGACGCCAAAAAUUCCAAGAGGAUUCUUGGCGGUGAUUGGAGAUAUCUGGGCAUUGGACUCCAUCGCGCCCCCCUCAGCGUCAAUCACCGCUACUACCGCCGUCUGCAGUGUGUCUGCUACCUUACUUUGCGUGGACGAAAAGAGACUCAUAUUUUAAAAAUGGAUUAAGUGUCAAGUGUUUGUAAAAAAGUGAAAGUUUUGGUUAACAAAAUAUUUAGUGAGGACACAAAUGAGGAUAGGCCUAUGGACAUUACAAGCCAGGUAACCUAUUUAUUACUUAAGCUCUUAUAAUAUAAUAAUGCUAUUUAUAUUUUCAAUUGUCAUUUUCUGACUAGCUAACAUACUGUUCUCCAACCAUAUAUACAAAAUAAUUAUGACUAAAUUUCGGCAGUUUAGGCCCAUAAAAUAUAAUAGCUCUCUCUAUAAAAUAUAUUUUCCACAAUAAUAAUAAUAAUAUAAAAUUUUCUUUAAAACAUAUAAUUUCUCCUUAUUUAAAGCUAUUAAUUCCGCAAAAAGUAAUACAAAAAGUAACCUGCCUGCUUCCUUAAUACUCCUAUAUCUAUUAUUCUAUUAUCCAUCCACAACAAAUUUCAAUAUGACUAGACUUGUCUUUAGUUAUUAUCAUCAAUAUAGUUCUUGACCUUAUUUCAAUAAUUAUUUAAUGAGCUCAGCUCUCAUCAUCAGUCCCAUGUUCGGUCGCCAAGUUCUUAUGUCACAUUAUUUUUUAUAGUUAAAUAACGAUUAGCCUCCUGCUUGGCAUCAAUUGGUAGAGCAUGAAAUAUUUUAAUAAUUAUAAAAAUCAGGUCAUGGUUUUUUUAUAGGAUACAGUCUCACUUUGGUACGACAUAUUCUUGUCAUCAUACAUUAAUGGGCUCAUACAGGAGCUUAUAAAAAUAAUACUGAUAAUUUAUUAAAAAAUAUAUAUAUGGUACUUAUCCUAUAGUAUUGAGGAAUAAAAAUAAAUCGCACACCAUAAACAAUUUGAUACAUAUAUUAACAAAUAUUGCAAAAAAUAAAUCAGAGCAGAAAA